UAAUAUAGAGUUUCAUUCUUACUUUAUAAUUUAUUAGAAACACUAAAUAAUAGAAAGCCAAUGGGAUUAGAUACCCCAGUAACCUAUUACCUUAACAUAGAAAUUAUUAUAAAUAUAAAAUCCGCCUGAGUAGUAUAACCUAUUGGUUGAAAUUCAAAAAGUUUGGCUGUUCAUUUUCCAAUUAGAGGAUUGUGUCGUUUAAUUUGAUAAUCCGCAAAAUACCUUACCUUAUUUAGAUAUUCAGGUGCUGCAUGGCCGUCAUCAGUUUGUAUUUAAAAUAAACAGACUCAAUCUUACAGCUGAAGUCAGGUAUUAUGGCCCUAAUAAUAAGGGAUUGAUGCAAUACAUUUUUAAAGAGAAUUAAAAUUUUAAAGCUAAUUAAAUUUGAAAAUUUUAUGAAGUAGAAUUUAAAAGUAAUCGAGGACAAUAAGGCCUCGGUGAAUAGGUUCAAAUGUUAGUACAAAUUGCCCGUCACCUUUAAUAACUAAUAAUAAUUGUUAGAAAUUAAAGUAAGUCGUAACAUAGUGAGGGAAAGGGAACUUUUCCUUGAGUUUUU
rnacentral:rRNA from 1 species